rnacentral:rRNA from 1 species
AUUGAACGCUGGCGGUAGGCCUAACACAUGCAAGUCGAACGGCAGCACAGGAGAGCUUGCUCUCUGGGUGGCGAGUGGCGGACGGGUGAGGAAUACAUCGGAAUCUACUCUGUCGUGGGGGAUAACGUAGGGAAACUUACGCUAAUACCGCAUACGACCUACGGAUGAAAGCAGGGGAUCGCAAGACCUUGUGCUACUAGAGCGGCCGAUGGCAGAUUAGGUAGUUGGUGGGAUAAAAGCUUACCAAGCCGACGAUCUGUAGCUGGUCUGAGAGGACGAUCAGCCACACUGGGACUGAGACACGGCCCAGACUCCUACGGGAGGCAGCAGUGGGGAAUUUUGGACAAUGGGCGCAAGCCUGAUCCAGCCAUACCGCGUGGGUGAAGAAGGCCUUCGGGUUGUAAAGCCCUUUUGUUGGGAAAGAAAUCCAGCUGGCUAAUACCCGGUUGGGAUGACGGUACCCAAAGAAUAAGCACCGGCUAACUUCGUGCCAGCCGCCGCGGUAA